rnacentral:rRNA from 1 species
AUUGAACGCUGGCGGCAGGCCUAACACAUGCAAGUCGAACGAGUGGCGGACUGGUGAGUAAUGUCUUGGAAACUGCCUGAUGGAGGGGGCUAACUACUGGAAACGGUAGCUAAUACCGCAUACCAUCAGAUGUGCCCAGAUGGGCUUGGCUUGUUGGUGGGGUAACGGCUCACCAAGGCGACGAUCCCUAGCUGGUCUGAGAGGGUGACCAGACACACUGGAACUGAGACACGGUCCAGAAUCCUACGGGAGGCAGCAGUGGGGAAGAUUGCACAAUGGGCGCAAGCCUGAUGGAGCCAUGCCGCGUGUAUGAAGAAGGCCUUCGGGUUGUAAAGUACUUUCAGCGGGGAGACGUUACCCGCAGAAGAAGCACCGGCUAACUCCGUGCCAGCAGCCGCGGUAAUUC